CAAACUCUUCUUGGUAAUAUAGAGUGCUUUUCUUCAUUUGGAUCCCUUUAUAAUUGCCUUAUUCAUUCUGCUUUUGGUAGUUUUUACUAUAAAAAAGAUUGUUCUGUUGUUUGAGUUUCAUGGAUAUUAUCUAGAAAUUUGCUAAACUUUUUCUCAGUGCUUUGUCGUCUGUUUCUCAUCACCCUCAAAACCUUAAGAUAGUAAAUAUUUUAGGCAUAUACAUCUAUAUUAAUAACAUUUACUUAGUGCUUGCUUUGAUUUUGUUUAAUCAAGCUGAAUCUGAGCGCUCGCCUAUCUUUUCCUUUUCAG
rnacentral:misc_RNA from 1 species